rnacentral:rRNA from 1 species
CCUACGGGUGGCUGCAGUGAGGAAUAUUGGUCAAUGGACGAGAGUCUGAACCAGCCAAGUAGCGUGAAGGAUGACUGCCCUAUGGGUUGUAAACUUCUUUUAUAUGGGAAUAAAAUGUUCCACGUGUGGGAUUUUGUAUGUACCAUAUGAAUAAGGAUCGGCUAACUCCGUGCCAGCAGCCGCGGUAAUACGGAGGAUCCGAGCGUUAUCCGGAUUUAUUGGGUUUAAAGGGAGCGUAGGUGGAUUGUUAAGUCAGUUGUGAAAGUUUGCGGCUCAACCGUAAAAUUGCAGUUGAAACUGGCAGUCUUGAGUACAGUAGAGGUGGGCGGAAUUCGUGGUGUAGCGGUGAAAUGCUUAGAUAUUACGAAGAACUCCGAUGGCGAAGGCAGUUCACUGGACUGCAACUGACACUGAGGCUCGAAAGUGUGGGUAUCAAACAGGAUUAGAUACCCUAGUAGUC